AGCACAGCAAAAGUAUCAACGACUAUGAUGAAAAAAUAAAAUGCGUCCGUAUUGACUGGAGCCAACCUAAGGGAUCAAACUUCACAUUGAACGUUGACGCUAUUUCGACCAUAACCAACGCUCUUUCGUCAAUUGUCAUAGAAGGUAGGGAUGGCAGUCCUACAUUUAGAAACCACGUGCCGGUUUUGGGAGAAGUUGACGUCGACGUUUAUAUCCUCGGUCAUAAUUACGACAAAUGGGCCGUUUUGUAUUAUUGUGAUAAAACAGAAAACUCUUACAUUGAGCAAGCUUUGGUAUUUACAAGACAAAAAUUCCCGGAUGAAAGAGGACUUAAUCAAUUCAUAGAUGAAUCCUACAGUUAUUGGAGUCUACGAAGGCCACAAUUUAGCCGAGUUAUCCAAAAUUGUCGGAAUUAAUUUCUAAAAAAAAAUUGUCAAUUUUAAACUCAAUAAAAAAAUGACA